UAACACAUGCAAGUCGAGCGGAAACGAUGAUAGCUUGCUAUCAGGCGUCGAGCGGCGGACGGGUGAGUAAUACUUAGGAAUCUACCUAGUAGUGGGGGAUAGCUCGGGGAAACUCGAAUUAAUACCGCAUACGUCCUACGGGAGAAAGCAGGGGAUCUUUGGACCUUGCGCUAUUAGAUGAGCCUAAGUCGGAUUAGCUAGAUGGUGGGGUAAAGGCCUACCAUGGCGACGAUCUGUAGCUGGUCUGAGAGGAUGAUCAGCCACACCGGGACUGAGACACGGCCCGGACUCCUACGGGAGGCAGCAGUGGGGAAUAUUGGACAAUGGGGGGAACCCUGAUCCAGCCAUGCCGCGUGUGUGAAGAAGGCCUUUUGGUUGUAAAGCACUUUAAGCAGUGAAGAAGACUCUUCGGUUAAUACCCGGGGACGAUGACAUUAGCUGCAGAAUAAGCACCGGCUAACUCUGUGCCAGCAGCCGCGGUAAUACAGAGGGUGCAAGCGUUAAUCGGAAUUACUGGGCGUAAAGCGAGCGUAGGUGGCUUGAUAAGUCAGAUGUGAAAUCCCCGGGCUUAACCUGGGAACUGCAUCUGAAACUGUUAGGCUAGAGUAGGUGAGAGGGAAGUAGAAUUUCAGGUGUAGCGGUGAAAUGCGUAGAGAUCUGAAGGAAUACCGAUGGCGAAGGCAGCUUCCUGGCAUCAUACUGACACUGAGGCUCGAAAGCGUGGGUAGCAAACAGGAUUAGAUACCCUGGUAGUCCACGCCGUAAACGAUGUCUACUAGUCGUUGGGUCCCUUGAGGACUUAGUGACGCAGCUAACGCAAUAAGUAGACCGCCUGGGGAGUACGGCCGCAAGGUUAAAACUCAAAUGAAUUGACGGGGGCCCGCA
rnacentral:rRNA from 1 species